rnacentral:rRNA from 1 species
GACGAACGCUGGCGGCGUGCUUAACACAUGCAAGUCGAACGGAAAGGCCCUGCUUUUGUGGGGUGCUCGAGUGGCGAACGGGUGAGUAACACGUGAGUAACCUGCCCUUGACUUUGGGAUAACUUCAGGAAACUGGGGCUAAUACCGGAUAGGAGCUCCUGCUGCAUGGUGGGGGUUGGAAAGUUUCGGCGGUUGUGGAUGGACUCGCGGCUUAUCAGCUUGUUGGUGGGGUAGUGGCUUACCAAGGCUUUGACGGGUAGCCGGCAUGAGAGGGUGACCGGCCACAUUGGGACUGAGAUACGGCCCAGACUCCUACGGGAGGCAGCAGUGGGGAAUAUUGCACAAUGGGCGGAAGCCUGAUGCAGCAACGCCGCGUGCGGGAUGACGGCCUUCGGGUUGUAAACCGCUUUCGCCUGUGACGAAGCGUGAGUGACGGUAAUGGGUAAAGAAGCACCGGCUAACUACGUG